AGAACGAACGCUGGCGGCAGGCCUAACACAUGCAAGUCGAACGCCCCGCAAGGGGAGUGGCAGACGGGUGAGUAACGCGUGGGAACGUACCCUUCGGUUCGGAAUAACCCGGGGAAACUCGGGCUAAUACCGGAUACGUCCGCAAGGAGAAAGAUUUAUCGCCGAAGGAUCGGCCCGCGUUGGAUUAGCUAGUUGGCGGGGUAAUGGCCCACCAAGGCGACGAUCCAUAGCUGGUCUGAGAGGAUGAUCAGCCACACUGGGACUGAGACACGGCCCAGACUCCUACGGGAGGCAGCAGUGGGGAAUAUUGGACAAUGGGCGAAAGCCUGAUCCAGCCAUGCCGCGUGAGUGAAGAAGGCCUAGGGUUGAAAGCUCUUUCAGCGGGAAGAUAAUGACGGUACCGCAGAAGAAGCCCGCUAACUUCGCGCCAGCAGCCGC
rnacentral:rRNA from 1 species